rnacentral:rRNA from 1 species
CUCCUACGGGAGGCAGCAGUGGGGAAUAUUGGACAAUGGGGGCAACCCUGAUCCAGCCAUGCCGCGUGAGUGAAGAAGGCCUUCGGGUUGUAAAGCUCUUUCAGAUGUGAAGAUAAUGACGGUAGCAUCAGAAGGAGCCCCGGCUAAACUCGUGCCAGCAGCCGCGGUAA